rnacentral:ncRNA from 19 species
UAAGAGGGAACCCGGUGACGCCUUUCGACUGGCCAGUCCGGGACUGCCCCGCAGCGGUGAGCGGGAACGACCGCCGUCAUACGCACUGGGCCCGAGCCGGGCCCGGGAAGCGACGGCCAGUAGGUGUCCGCCCUCGACGAGGGCGAGCGUGCCCGCGAGUCCGAAGACCU